rnacentral:rRNA from 1 species
GWAGUCCUACGGGGGGGGCWGCAGUAGGGAAUCUUCCGCAAUGGGCGAAAGCCUGACGGAGCAAUGCCGCGUGAGUGAUGAAGGUUUUCGGAUCGUAAAGCUCUGUUGCCAGGGAAGAACGCUUGGGAGAGUAACUGCUCUCAAGGUGACGGUACCUGAGAAGAAAGCCCCGGCUAACUACGUGCCAGCAGCCGCGGUAAUACGUAGGGGGCAAGCGUUGUCCGGAAUUAUUGGGCGUAAAGCGCGCGCAGGCGGUCAUUUAAGUCUGGUGUUUAAUCCCGGGGCUCAACCCCGGAUCGCACUGGAAACUGGGUGACUUGAGUGCAGAAGAGGAGAGUGGAAUUCCACGUGUAGCGGUGAAAUGCGUAGAUAUGUGGAGGAACACCAGUGGCGAAGGCGACUCUCUGGGCUGUAACUGACGCUGAGGCGCGAAAGCGUGGGGAGCAAACAGGAUUAGAUACCCGCG